CUCGGCAACGGAUAUCUCGGCUCUCGCAUCGAUGAAGAACGUAGCGAAAUGCGAUACCUGGUGUGAAUUGCAGAAUCCCGCGAACCAUCGAGUCUUUGAACGCAAGUUGCGCCCGAGGCCAUCCGGCCGAGGGCACGCCUGCCUGGGCGUCACGCCAAAAGACG
rnacentral:rRNA from 1 species